rnacentral:lncRNA from 1 species
GUUCUAAGAUGGGUCCUCUCUUCGUAGGCUAAUGCAUUGGCCCUUUUUUGACCCGUUUUGGGGCGAAAACAAAAACUGACUCCCGGGCAUAUUUUUUUCGGCCUUUAUGGGCAGAGAACUUUAGUACCGCUCAAAAUGAGGCCACCCAGUAGUUAGGUGUGAAUUUUCGAGACCUUUGGCAUCGUUCUAAGAUGGGUCCUCUCUUCGUAGGCUAAUGCAUUGGCCUUUUUUGACCCGUUUUGGGGCGAAAACAAAAACUGACUCCCGGGCAUAUUUUUUUCGGCCUUUAUGGGCAAAGAACUUUAGUACCGCUCAAAAUGAGGCCACCCAGUAGUUAGGUGUGAAUUUUCGAGACCUUUGGCACCGUUCUAAGAUGGGUCCUCUCUUCGUAGGCUAAUGCAUUGGCCCUUUUUGACCCGUUUUGGGGCGAAAACAAAAACUGACUCCCGGGCAUAUUUUUUUCGGCCUUUAUGGGCAAAGAACUUUAGUACCGCUCAAAAUGAGGCCACCCAGUAGUUAGGUGUGAAUUUUCGAGACCUUUGGCACCGUUCUAAGAUGGGUCCUCUCUUCGUAGGCUAAUGCAUUGGCCCUUUUUUGACCCGUUUUGGGGCGAAAACAAAAACUGACUCCCGGGCAUAUUUUUUUCGGCCUUUAUGGGCAAAGAACUUUAGUACCGCUCAAAAUGAGGCCACCCAGUAGUUAGGUGUGAAUUUUCGAGACCUUUGGCAUCGUUCUAAGAUGGGUCCUCUCUUCGUAGGCUAAUGCAUUGGCCCUUUUUUGACCCGUUUUGGGGCGAAAACAAAAACUGACUCCCGGGCAUAUUUUUUUCGGCCUUUAUGGGCAGAGAACUUUAGUACCGCUCAAAAUGAGGCCACCCAGUAGUUAGGUGUGAAUUUUCGAGACCUUUGGCAUCGUUCUAAGAUGGGUCCUCUCUUCGUAGGCUAAUGCAUUGGCCCUUUUUUGACCCGUUUUGGGGCGAAAACAAAAACUGACUCCCGGGCAUAUUUUUUUCGGCCUUUAUGGGCAGAGAACUUUAGUACCGCUCAAAAUGAGGCCACCCAGUAGUUAGGUGUGAAUUUUCGAGACCUUUGGCAUCGUUCUAAGAUGGGUCCUCUCUUCGUAGGCUAAUGCAUUGGCCCUUUUUUGACCCCUUUUUGGGGCGAAAACAAAAACUGACUCCCGAGCAUAUUUUUUUCGGCCUUUAUGGGCAAAGAACUUUAGUACCGCUCAAAAUGAGGCCACCCAGUAGUUAGGUGUGAAUUUUCGAGACCUUUGGCAUCGUUCUAAGAUGGGUCCUCUCUUCGUAGGCUAAUGCAUUGGCCCUUUUUUGACCCGUUUUGGGGCGAAAACAAAAACUGACUCCCGGGCAUAUUUUUUUCGGCCUUUAUGGGCAAAGAACUUUAGUACCGCUCAAAAUGAGGCCACCCAGUAGUUAGGUGUGAAUUUUCGAGACCUUUGGCAUCGUUCUAAGAUGGGUCCUCUCUUCGUAGGCUAAUGCAUUGGCCCUUUUUUGACCCGUUUUGGGGCGAAAACAAAAACUGACUCCCGGGCAUAUUUUUUUCGGCCUUUAUGGGCAAAGAACUUUAGUACCGCUCAAAAUGAGGCCACCCAGUAGUUAGGUGUGAAUUUUCGAGACCUUUGGCAUCGUUCUAAGAUGGGUCCUCUCUUCGUAGGCUAAUGCAUUGGCCCUUUUUUGACCCGUUUUGGGGCGAAAAACAAAAACUGACUCCCGGGCAUAUUUUUUUCGGCCUUUAUGGGCAAAGAACUUUAGUACCGCUCAAAAUGAGGCCACCCAGUAGUUAGGUGUGAAUUUUCGAGACCUUUUGGCAUCGUUCUAAGAUGGGUCCUCUCUUCGUAGGCUAAUGCAUUGGCCUUUUUUGACCCGUUUUGGGGCGAAAAACAAAAACUGACUCCCGGGCAUAUUUUUUUCGGCCUUUAUGGGCAAAGAACUUUAGUACCGCUCAAAAUGAGGCCACCCAGUAGUUAGGUGUGAAUUUUCGAGACCUUUGGCAUCGUUCUAAGAUGGGUCCUCUCUUCGUAGGCUAAUGCAUUGGCCCUUUUUUGACCCGUUUUGGGGCGAAAACAAAAACUGACUCCCGGGCAUAUUUUUUUCGGCCUUUAUGGGCAGAGAACUUUAGUACCGCUCAAAAUGAGGCCACCCAGUAGUUAGGUGUGAAUUUUCGAGACCUUUGGCAUCGUUCUAAGAUGGGUCCUCUCUUCGUAGGCUAAUGCAUUGGCCCUUUUUUGACCCGUUUUGGGGCGAAAACAAAAACUGACUCCCGGGCAUAUUUUUUUCGGCCUUUAUGGGCAAAGAACUUUAGUACCGCUCAAAAUGAGGCCACCCAGUAGUUAGGUGUGAAUUUUCGAGACCUUUGGCAUCGUUCUAAGAUGGGUCCUCUCUUCGUAGGCUAAUGCAUUGGCCCUUUUUGACCCGUUUUGGGGCGAAAACAAAAACUGACUCCCCCGGGCAUAUAUUUUUUCGGCCUUUAUGGGCAAAGAACUUUAGUACCGCUCAAAAUGAGGCCACCCAGUAGUUAGGUGUGAAUUUUCGAGACCUUUGGCAUCGUUCUAAGAUGGGUCCUCUCUUCGUAGGCUAAUGCAUUGGCCCUUUUUUGACCCGUUUUGGGGCGAAAACAAAAACUGACUCCCGGGCAUAUAUUUU